GACGAACGCUGGCGGCAGGGCCUAACACAUGCAAGUCGAGCGAGACCUUCGGGUCUAGCGGCGGACGGGUUAGUAACGCGUGGGAACGUGCCCUUCUCUGCGGAAUAGCCACUGGAAGCGGUGAGUAAUACCGCAUACGCCCUUCGGGGGAAAGAUUUAUCGGAGAAGGAUCGGCCCGCGUUAGAUUAGAUAGUUGGUGGGUAACGGCCUACCAAGUCUACGAUCUAUAGCUGGUUUUAGAGGAUGAUCAGCAACACUGGGACUGAGACACGGCCCAGACUCCUACGGGAGGCAGCAGGUGGGGAAUCUUAGACAAUGGGCGCAAGCCUGAUCUAGCCAUGCCGCGUGUGUGAUGAAGGUCUUAGGAUCGUAAAGCACUUUCGCCAGGGAUGAUAAUGACAGUACCUGGUAAAGAAACCCCGGCUAACUCCGUG
rnacentral:rRNA from 1 species